GCUGGUUCCGUCUAAUUUUGUUGUUCGUUACAACUUCUCCGCUGUGCAUGAAAAGUUGCAGUAUAACUGUUUCAAUGAGAACGUAUAUAUUAUUUCAUGUUACUGACACUUGCAUGAUUUGACACCAGUAUUGCCAGCAUUUGUUUUAUUCACUGGGCGAUCUGGAGUGAUCAGAGAGUAGACUGAAGAAGUGUAGUAAAACUGACAGUGUUUUUAAAUUCUAUGAAAUGAGUCUGUGUAGUUUCUAACCCUUUUUGAUAGUGAGUGGAGGAUGAUAUGGCUCAUCAUUUUCAUGACUUAUGAGAUAGUUUUAGAUUAGUUUUAUUCCCCUUUUGUAUUGCGCAGCCUACUGAUAUGAAUUACGUACAGGUAGCCUAGUGGUUGGAGAGAUGGGCCAGUAAUCGAAAGGUCGCUGGAUCGAAUCCCCGAGCUGACAAGGCACCUGCAAGAUCCCGGACAUUUCCUGGGGGAAUGGUCCUAUCCCUCACCCUCCGAUCCUACAGGUCCCAGACGUGCUCAAUGGGAUUGAGAUCCGGGCUCUUCGCUGGCCAUGGCAAAACACUGACAUUCCUGUCUAGCAGGUGUGAUGUUCGGAUGUAUCGAUCCUGUUCAGGGGUUGUGGUCUAUUCCAAAGGCCAAAAUCAACAUCCUCACGAAUUCUAUGCAAAGGAGAUGUGUGCCGGAGGAGGCAGCGGCAGAUACCCACUUCUCCAAUGCUUAAUGUGUAAAUUAGGAUUUGCUGGAACCAAAAGUGAGUCAGAGCGGGUGACCUGCGGGUCUCCGAGGUACCAGAACACGUUAAAUAAAAUACCUUUAUAAAAAAGCAUUGCAUGCAUUAUCAUGGCUUUAAUGUACUGGCAUAUUAUAAUGGUUUUAUUUUAUUUAACUAGGCAAGUCAGUUAAGAACCAAUUCUUAUUUACAGUGACUGCCUACCUGUACCAAACCCAUGGAGAUUCUUGGGAAUAUGGUCACCAUAAUUUGCAAAUAAAAAAAAUAAAAAAUCCUACAA